CCUACGGGUGGCAGCAGUGAGGAAUAUUGGUCAAUGGCCGAGAGGCUGAACCAGCCAAGUCGCGUGAGGGAAGACGGCCCUACGGGUUGUAAACCUCUUUUGUCGGGGAGCAAAGAGAGUCACGUGUGACUCAUUGAGGGUACCCGAAGAAAAAGCAUCGGCUAACUCCGUGCCAGCAGCCGCGGUAAUACGGAGGAUGCGAGCGUUAUCCGGAUUUAUUGGGUUUAAAGGGUGCGUAGGCGGAAGGUUAAGUCAGCGGUAAAAUGUCGGUGCUCAACACCGGCCUGCCGUUGAAACUGGUCGUCUUGAGUGAGCGAGAAGUAUGCGGAAUGCGUGGUGUAGCGGUGAAAUGCAUAGAUAUCACGCAGAACUCCGAUUGCGAAGGCAGCAUACCGGCGCUCAACUGACGCUGAGGCACGAAAGCGUGGGGAUCGAACAGGAUUAGAUACCCCUGUAGUC
rnacentral:rRNA from 1 species